GAAUAAUUGUAACCGCGGAACUGCGGCGGCAUGCGCAACAGCAGGGGGGGCAACCGGGGGCCCCGGGUGUGUAGUGGUAGCCACGGCGACCAGACUGCAACAUGGCGGCGGCCGGAGGUGUGGAGCGACAGCAGACCGGAGCCCUAAAGAUACAGAUAUUGUUACCGUACAGAAGCCGU
rnacentral:lncRNA from 1 species